CGGAGCCGGGGGACAGGAGGGCACCGCGCUUCAGGCAGCGCCAAACGACCCCGUCCCGGGCCGAUCUUCUCCUCUUCAGAGCUGAGGGUGCCAAGUAUUUCACACUAAGGGCAGUUUGUGCUCUCUGGUCCACCGAAAAUCUAGAAAACGGUGUAUCGGUCUCCUCGAGCUAGGGGAAAAAUAAAAAGUAAAUUAACCGAGUUCGUUUUGUGCUCAACGCAGGACCUUCUUCUGAAACAGGAACUGAAAUUUGGCCAGUCAGCAUCGAGUUGCUGGUGAAAAUCUCGGUCACAUCAGCAUUUGCCGCCUUUUCGUCUCCUUAAGAAAAAAAGUUAUGAGAAGUAUUUUUUACGUAUGAUGAACAUACAUGAAAGUGACCGCUAAAUUAUCCAGAAAUCCUAUCCUUAAGGCUAAAAUCCUGUAAGGAAAGAGAUAAACGUAAUCAUAUAAUUGCAUAAUUAAAGCCUUUACCAUAAUACCUAUUCUGGUCUAAAGGUUGUGCAUUAUGUGCAAUACUUAAGUACUGUGAGAAGACUAGAAUAAUUUUAGUUGUUGACAUUGCGUUGCGAAAUGUACAAAAGGAAACAUUAAUAUUUUCUUUUUUAAAAAAACUUGAUUUGUUAGAGCUUUAUGAACAGGAUGACUACAGGCAUGUUAGGAACUGAGACUGCCUGUGUAUGGACAGGAGGAGAACUUGGGCUGUAGUUGGGAAUAUUCUAGUUUCCUGAGCUGCUAGUAAAGAAAGGAAAGACUUGAACUUGGGCAGUUUAUUUUUGUCUGUUUAUUUUCCAUUAAUAAUAUUUGAAUCCCUUAUCUAGAAUCAGCCACAAUGAACAAAAAGUUUCAAAAAAUAAUCUGGAAAGGAGCAUAUCACCCCUCAAAAAACCAGCAGCAUAAAUAGCAAUACCUAUUAUAUCAAAGAAUCCAUCCACAGAGAACUGCUGUCUGAAGCAUGAAUUAAUAGAAAUCAGCUUUCUUUGUCUUAUUUUCUUAUGAAUUGAUUUGCUUUUAUGUGAAAAGUGGAACUUUCCUAUGUUUUGAACCAUAGCCAUUGAAUCAGAAGACACAGACCUGGAAAUACCAGUAAAGUAACAUUUUAACAUUCAUUUGUUCUUUAGGAUGUUAUUAUUAUUUUUGUAUCUUCCAUUUCCAGGGCAAGUCUUCCAGAUUCAGGAGGGAAUAUUUUGUCACAUGUUUGUAAAGCAGCCAGGUCCACACAGUCUCUGGGCAGAUUCUGGCACUGUACUCGUAAGGAGCAGUAAGUAGUUCACUGGUGAAGACAGCGAAUACUAUUCUUCCUGAAACAAACUGAGCAGCACAGAGUCAUUUUUGUCACAUUGCAUAAACUAUGUGGCACUUGAGUUACACAUCUGGCUCUAGGGGCAUUUUUAGGAGCAAACAUGGUGACUGCCAGGGCAGCUAGUGGAAGUCACAGUUGCAUUAAUUUAGGUAGAAAUAUCAGUCAUCUCUUGUGCAAUUAUGUCAAAGGAGCUUGUGCCCUGCACCCUCACAGUCACAGUGUCUGUCCUGGCAGCAGGUUGCAGUACAACUUUGGGAAGGCCAAAGUGGCUUAGUGGACCCAGGAGGGGCCCACUAAGCCUCUUGGAGCAGAGAACAGAUACAAAGCCAUGACUCUUGGGCAUGCAAGAAAAGAAAGCUUGGAUACUGAUGCCCAUGGUCAAACUCUUCGAAGCAGGCCCACAAUUGCAGGGUUAAAAAUGUUGAAAUUAAGAUGAAAUUUGAUUUAAAAUAUUUUGUAACAAAAGCUUCCAGUGCUGAAAUCAAAGUUGUAUACUUGGAAUUACAGCAAUCUAAAGCUUCCAUAUUCAAACACUUUUUAUGCCCUGAAGAAAAUUGUAGGCCGUAUAGGACCUCAGACAGUUCUUGUAAAACGUGCAAAGCAUGUCUACAUUGCCCUUCAUGGUGAAAUCAUAAAGUUUACAUGCUGUUUUAUAUAAAUUUAGGAAAGUAAUUUUCAAAUAGAGCUGAAACAUGAAGAUAGAAAUGAUACCUGGUUUUCAUUGCAUAGUUCUAUUUCCUUCACUGACAUGCUCUAAUUAAAUAAAUACAUAUUUAUAUAGAUAUAAAUAUAUACUUUUAAUUUAUAAAUGUAUACUAUAUAAUAUACACAAUAAAUUAUACACAGUGUAGAAUUUAUAAUUUUACACUUAUAUGUGGUAAGGUAUAUCAUACACAGUAUUUGCUGCACUACACAGCUCAUGCUGCAUACUGUAUGCAACAGUGCUACAUACAGUACAAUUUGAUGUAUUCUGUGCUAGUAAAUAAGUUUGUAUUUAUAUUAUACUUCAUAUAUUAACAUCUAUAUAGAAAUAGCAGAUUAUAUUAUCAUAUGUUAACCAUUACAGUCAUAUACAUCAUCUGUACACACCUAUGUCCCUCAUGCAGCUUCUUUCAAUACCUCUUUUCAGAAACCCGCUGUAGGAAAGGUGAUCUUAAUUGACUGACUGUUGCUAUGUGCUUCAUUGCAUUUGGUGUUUCCUAGUCUGAGGCAGAGUCAGAACAUAAACUAGCUGCAGGUAUAACAGUGUGGGAUUCUGGUUUACAGUUGGCACAAGUUUAGAUACAGGGUGUUAAGUACCUGAAAUCUGCUUAAAGCCACAAAAAUUACCAUGAACCCUCAGACCAGAAAAUGAUGUAUGAAUUAGUUUUUUAUUUACACUUUGAUUGCAGUGAUAUCAUGUUUUAAGUGCAUACACUCCUCUGUUAGUUUCUGUAGAGUGGAUGGGCUGAAGUAAUUUGGUUCUCAUUUGCAGAUUGAAAAAACCCUUUUGUCAUUCUACAUCUUUGCAGUCUUAGUGCACCUUUGUGGUAGGAAGCCCAUUAUUCAAAUUAAAAAUGUUUGAGUGAUAGCAAUUAAUAAUUUCUGAGUGAAAUUUUAGAAACUACAAAAGGUUUCAGAGCUCUGUGUGCUUGUGUGUGGGUCUGUGUGUGGGAGUGUGGGCAUUUUGUAUUUUUCAGUGAACUAAUUGUUAGAAGAAAUUAAAUCAACUUAUCUAUCAUAUGUGUAUGAGAAGAGCCACCUCUCUGGUUGCUAAUUUUGUGUCCAAUUGAUAGAUAGUUUGUGAGGCUGCACGUUAAACACUAUCCUGUUUCGGUUGUAACAGCUUGAGGUUUUUAUGUGAUAUUAACAUAAAAGGUCUCUAAUUUUUCACUAGAGAAAAAGAAAAUGCUACAAAUGUUGAAUACCUGAUGGUACUUUCUGUAAGUCUCGCCACUGUUUGGGUAAGUCCCCUACUAAAAUAUUCCCUUUUUCCCACGUACCACUUGUCCCACAGUUUUAGCUGAAUCCAGAAUUUUACAGGUCCUCUCCUAAGCUUAGAAAUUCUCUGCUACAUUGCAGGUUGUGUUCUUUUGUCACAGAGUCUGAAUCUAAACAGUGAAUGUUUCUGAUCAUGUGUCGUUCUGGCCUACAUUCUGAUUAUGUUCUAUUUUUUCUGCACUGAUUUUGGUUCCAUAAAUACACAACUCAAACUGCUCUCAUGUCCAUAAGCAGGCUGGUAUGGCUUGUAUUCUUCUCGUCUCGAAGUGGUACACAGGAUAAUAUCAUAAAUAUUAUAUUGGCAAAUCAUCUAGACCACCUUCUGUAAGCUUUAUAUAACAGCUAACAAUUGGUCACAGGAUAAAAUUUAAUUCUAGUCCUGUUAGUGAAAGAGGUACAUGUGCUUCAAGUUUUGUGAUAAAAUUCAUACAAAUAUAAUUAGAAUGUAGAAUUCUGUGAUAAUAUAUAGCCAAAGCAUGUCUUUCCAUUGAAGUGGGCUUUCUUUGUAACCAUCAACCAUGUCUAUUCUAGGCCAAAUAAAAUUGUUUUCUUUUGCAGCUCAUGGUGACACAAAACACAGCACAUUGUAACUACAAGAACAGACUCGACUGUGAAAGAUCUCUAUCAGGCAUCACAGAGAAUUUGAGGCAGCUGGCAGUUAUCAGCUGAAGCAGUUAACAACAGAGUAAAUGCAGUCUGUGGACCCUUCUCAGUGCCUUGUCUGCUGAUGAAAUGCUUUGCAUAUGUUUCAGAGGGAACCAAGUUGCUCUCCAAGCUCCAUCUGAACACAGACGAAAAUUAUGGCAUCAUGUGAAAUGAUGUCAUAUCAGUUUCUGUCUUGCAGUUCUCUACAGGAUGAAAUUCCCAGAAACUGGAAAAAUGCAUUUACAUAUAUAUUUUAAUAUGUGAGUUCCUGACAAAAAUAGUGGAAAGAACUUUCUUGAGUUUCUCCCAAAGACGAAUCAAGGUUCUGUAAAAUUGCUGGAUCUUUGCUUGUCAUUUGCCGUGACUUGUGCACAUCAUACAAAAAAUAGCAACCAAAGCUCUUGGCCAGGUAAAGUAAUCUUGGAUAUCUUCAUGUGCCUUUGUUCUGAAAAUGUGUACCAAUGCAUAUCCUGGAUCUCAGGCUUAUUAAUGCAUUUAAGGAUUAUUUGAGUUGGUAACCUGAAAUAAUCUGACACUGCGUUUAUUGAUGCAGAAGGUUAUUCUGAAUUUUUUGUCCAAAUGUCUUACUUUACAGUCCCAUGUGAAUAAAAUACUUGGCUUUAAACAUA